CUCGCUGGUUCGAGUUCGAACGUGACACAGAGGAACACGAGGUGGAAGAAGGUGCAGCGGCGGUGGAGGUGAAGGGUGGCGGCACUACGAAUGAAGAUAUGAGAACAGUCUUUUCCCUCGUACCAACGAAUAAAGUGACUCUAAAAAAGCGAUACACUGGACACGUCGAGUAGACUUUGAGCGACAUGAUUUGAAGCUCGAGGCGAUUUUGGGUGUUUGUGGCUACGCACAAUGGCGGCAUUUUAGGCAAAUCUUUGCUUGGGGCCAAAUGUAGAUUGUAGGUGGCCCGAAGCGGACAUUAUGCAACAAAUUUGGGUUCUAUUCGAAUCCUUUUUGGUGGUGAAGAUGUCAAACGAAGGAAACUGAAUCAUCUUCAUAUGUUUGAUCUGAAAGUCUGAAUGACUAACUAUGCAAAAUGGAUAUUCAUGAAGAAUAAUUAUAUUGGCUAAAUCAAGUCAGUUUUUAUCGGAAUUAA